UUAGCUCAGUUGGGAGAGCACUUCCUUGACGUGGAAGGGGUCAUGGGUUCGAGUCCCUUA
rnacentral:tRNA from 1 species